ensembl:lncRNA
AUUUACAUUACCAUGUUAGUCAUUUAGAAUAUGCGCUCAUCCAGAUACCUUAAGGAUGUUGAGUAAUUCAUAUUAUUUAAACAGUUUAUAUGGAUUUACCAUGAUGCAAUUUUAAUACAAUUUGUGUUUGAUCCCAGGGAGAUUAUGGGGAGAGGGGAAAGACUGGGGCUGGUGGUAUCAAAGGAGAUGUGGUAUGUUUUGCUCUGCAACUUUUAAAUAAAUAACAAUUUCAACUUUUUUUCAUCGUUUUAGCCUCCACAUCUACUCUCCUUCUCCUUCCUUUAUGUUUUUCUCAGGGAUUGCAAGGUCCAAGGGGGAAGAAAGGAGAGUCUGGAACAGGAGGCAAAAUGGGGACAUUGGGAAAGAGGGGGUUCACUGGAUCUCCAGGAGGUAAAGGCAGAUCUGGGCCUGCUGGUGCCCCUGGAGAGAAAGGUGGUAAAGGAAUAGAAGGGCCAAAGGUGAGAGGUUGUGUCAUGCAGUACACAAUCCCUCUUGAAAUAUCACACUCUUCAUAUGAAGUGGCUUUGUCUGACCUGAUUUUCUCAUUUAUCUUUGAUGAAGGGAUUGCAUGGCAGCCCAGGAAAGAGGGGAGGCAGGGGAGUUAGAGGCAAACCAGUGAGUUUAAUCAGUUCUUUCUUUCAAUGCUUGCUCUACACUCUACCAAACCCUCUCGCCACAAUCAGGGUUGGGUAGGUUACUUUCUAAAUGUAAUCCAUUAAAGUUACUAGCUACCUGUCAAAUUGAAAUCAGUAAUGGAGUUUGGAUGACCCAAACUCAGUAAUGCACUCUGAUUACUUUCAGUUACUUUUGGAUUACUUUCCCCUUUAAGGAAUUAGAAGAAGACCAAAGGGAUCCAUCAAACACAUUUGGUGUGUCAUCAUAGCAGUCUCUGACUUAUUUUCAGACUUGCUCAGGUGGAACAAACUUAAAACUUGUCUCUUUUUCAGCGCUGAGUUGAAUGUCCUUGAGGAAACAGAAAGGUGUCAAUGUAUUUUUUUUUACAAACAUCCUUUGUGAAUUUAACAUGUAAUCCAAGAAGUUAACUAGUUUUUUUUAAAGUAUCUUUAAUCUGAUUACAUUAUUUUAGCUGGUAAUGUAAAUGAUUACAGCUACAGUUUUUUGCAAUCAGAUUACAUGUAAUCUGUUACUCCCCAACCGUGCCCACAAUGAUUUCCCCCACAAUGUAUUGAAGCGAAGAGUCAAUAGUACAAUUUUAACUUUUCUUCUGUGCCACAUUUUCCUCCUCUUGCUUAUAGGGAGAAGAAGGCCCAUUGGGACCGGAUGGACCAGUUGGAAGAUCUGGAAAGCCAGCAAGUAUCCCUAUAGGGCAUGAUCCUAUCACAGAAAAUACAAUAUAAUGUGUUAUGAUGAUGUUGAUCCUAUUGAGGUGUUUGUUACAUUGUCUUUUCUAUCUCAGGGACUUGCUGGUUUGGAUGGAUUGCUGGGGGUUGAAGGAAAUGAAGGAGAUAAUGUAAGCAUUGUCUGGUUCCCAAGCAUAACCUUAAAAUAUAUAUUUGUCAAUCAGUAGCCCCAGGACAUAUUGUCUAAUAGAUCUUCCUUUGAUUCUAUUUGUCUCCAGGGUGAUACUGGUUACAGAGGAACCCCUGGGAGGCCUGGUCUACCAGGGAAGAUGGUGAGUGAAAUACAGACUUGACUUAAGCAUAGUGAUUUUAAGGCUGUAUAAAUACACAGUAUGUUGGAACUUGAUGCAUCCCUACUCUAAUGAUUAAUGUUACAGGGUCAAAGUGGACAACCUGGAUUGAGUGGUGGUCACGGAGCACCAGGGUCAAAGGUACGACCUGUGUUUGACUAAGUGAGAUAUCCAACAGUACAUGUACAUAGAAAUACAACAAGAGCUAUUUGGCCAAACAUCUUUAUUUUGCCAUGGUUUACAUUCAGAACCUUCCACCAAUGUUUUGUCAAGGGUAAUCUUGGAUCAAAAGGAAAACGAGGACCUGCAGGGCCAAUGGGGCCAAGGGUAAAUACAUGUGAAACCUUUACGUUAAUGUUUAUAACUCCCUGUAUAUUCUCAAACAUGUUUUCUUAUGCUUGAUAACUAAGCACUCUGAUAUUGCUAUUUUGCAUAGGGUAUUCCAGGGUUUGGAGGAGCAAAGGGGAAGUUUGGCCAGCAUGGAUCAAAGGUGCUGUAUAUGUCUCAACACUCAAUAACACCUACAGUAUGUUAUAGAGUAAAUCAACAGAAUUAGUUUUCUAUGUGGUCACAUCAUCGCUCCUUUAUAUCUGUUAUCUCUCAGGGUCAGGCAGGCGGCAGAGGCCUGCAGGGACAUAUUGGACCACGAGGAAUCAAAGUAGGUCAUUUGGAAUGUAUUUGGAAAUCAAUGAACCACACCUCAUAUUUAGAGAGCCGAUGACUCUUCAGUCUUUUUCUUUUAGGGGAAUCCAGGACUGCCGGGGAAUAAAGGGCGGCUAGGCCCAAAAGGCAUACAGGUUAGCUGGUGGUAUCUCUUUUCCAUAUGAAUUGUUUUAAAGGAAUUAUAUCCUGAUACAUGUUGCACAACAGUAUCAGCACAAAUGUAUUAUCAAUUUAUGUCAAUGUAUUGGUAAUUUAUAGGGAGACAUUGGUCCUCGUGGUCCACCUGGGAAAAAGGGCUUCCCUGGUCUACCUGUAUGUAUUUUGUCCAUAUUUCACAAACCUUCUUAGAGUCUCUUCCAGUAUAAGUUUGCUAACAUUAUGACAUUUUGAAGUCUUGCUUGGUAAAUUGUGUUUGUUUUAUUUUACAGGGUCUCUUUGGAAAUAGGGUAAGUAACCAUUUCGCUUUCUAAUGUCUAUUGUUGGGUAUAUUUCCAUGGUUUCCAUCUAAAUC